rnacentral:rRNA from 1 species
GUGGGUAGUUUGACUGGGGCGGUCUCCUCCCAAAGCGUAACGGAGGAGCACGAAGGUUAGCUAAUCCUGGUCGGACAUCAGGAGGUUAGUGCAAUGGCAUAAGCUAGCUUGACUGCGAGCGUGACGGCGCGAGCAGGUGCGAAAGCAGGUCAUAGUGAUCCGGUGGUUCUGAAUGGAAGGGCCAUCGCUCAACGGAUAAAAGGUACUCCGGGGAUAACAGGCUGAUACCGCCCAAGAGUUCAUAUCGACGGCGGUGUUUGGCACCUCGAUGUCGGCUCAUCACAUCCUGGGGCUGAAGUAGGUCCCAAGGGUAUGGCUGUUCGCCAUUUAAAGUGGUACGCGAGCUGGGUUUAGAACGUCGUGAGACAGUUCGGUCCCUAUCUGCCGUGGGCGCUGGAGAAUUGAGGGGGGCUGCUCCUAGUACGAGAGGACCGGAGUGGACGCAUCACUGGUGUUCGGGUUGUC